rnacentral:rRNA from 1 species
UACAGAGGUCUCAAGCGUUGUUCGGAUUCAUUGGGCGUAAAGGGUGUGUAGGUGGCGCCGUAAGUCGGGUGUGAAAUUCGGAGCUUAACUCCGAAACUGCAUUCGAUACUGCGGUGCUUGAGGACUGGAGAGGAGACUGGAAUUCAUGGUGUAGCAGUGAAAUGCGUAGAGAUCAUGAGGAAGACCAGUGGCGAAGGCGGGUCUCUGGGCCGUAACUGACGCUGGAGGAGCGAAAGCAUGGGGAGCGAACAGG